GCGUCCCUGGCCGAGCGGUCAGGCGCCGGCUCCCCAGGCCGGACAGGCGGGUUCGACUCCCGCGGGGCGCU
rfam:Planctomycetales bacterium 71-10 scnpilot_p_inoc_scaffold_527, whole genome shotgun sequence.